ACUACACCAGAGCACCCGCCAACCGCCCACGGUCUCAUGAAUGGAAACAUAUUUUGUUUUGUUUAUCUUGUGGUGGUGAUCACGAGGAGUUUUUGGCUGUCGUCUGUCGACGUGGAAGGCACUAACUACAGACUGCGCCCGAACCGAGCCACCUAAAUCACUGAGAACGGCGAGCGACAGCAAUCAGCAGGAUUUGAACUUGCCACAGCAAUCAGCAGGAUUUGAACUUGCCACAGCGAUCAGCAGGAUUUGAACUUGCCACAGCAAUCAGCAGGAUUUGAACUUGCCACAGCAAUCAGUAGCAGGAUUUGAACUAGUUCCGCCCGUACCAGCCUCCGACGCUCGCCCUACUGUGUCACGGACUGUCUGUCGUCGCCAUCCAAUAUCAGAAUCUCGCCGCCCGGACGAUAGGAGAGCGCUUUAUCGCUGACAGUGGUGAAACUACAGGUCCCACUUCGUCAGCCUUUUGUCUAGAUCAAGGCGGUCUCUGUCUAUCUCUCUAUCUAUCCCUGACUGUGUUGGAAGUACCAGUACACUUCGUCAGCCUUUGUCUAGACCAAGGCGGUCUCGAGCUAUCUACCGGGUAUCUACCUGUCUCUGUGACACGGGCGGUGUGCACACGCGUUGACGUGGAGUUGUGGGAACAUACGGUCAAUAUUGUCUGAGUCGUCUGUCUGAUUGACUGAAGGCUUAUAGAAAGGCGGACGUCUUCUAGACAGGUGGAUGUCUUAUAGACAGCAGGACGUCACGUCUUCAAGAAAGGUGGACGGCUUAUACAGUGUCAGUAUCCUAUAAGGUAUACACCAGGGAGGAAACUGGAAGUGACUUCUUGUGCAGGUGAUUGUCUUACACAGGUGAUUGUUAGAGCAGGUUGGACUGUAGAUAUCUAAAAGCAAAAGGAACCAUCGCUGUGUGACGUCAGACGUGCUAUUGUUUCGGGAAGCGAAACGUUUUAAGAACUGUGUGGCUGAAACAUUAACCUCUCACUUGUUGUAAACAAUGUAGACAUUUUGGGAUUUUCACACAAGUCUCAAGACUUGAGAAGAGUGUAAGGGGGUACAUUGUACGUGUAUUUCUGAGUCCAGGGUGAAUUCUUAGGCGGAGUCAAUCAUUUCGCUGAAAGUUUGGAUGAAAGCAUUGUUUUGGUUGUUGUUUUGGGUUGUUUUGUGCUUGUGGUUUUUUUCUCCUCCUAAAGUGGUGAAUCACAUGUCACGUGUUCUGAUGUUGUUCUAUUGUUGUUCUGUUUUACUGCAGUGUGAGAUAAAUAAUAGUUUAUAACAACACCAGAACUCAGUAUUCACAAGAAGUUUAUUCAAGUUCACCUGCCAGUGGACAACACGAGCUAGAACCACCAUCAACAUCAACACCUUUCUUCCAGAUACCACAACUCCCAAAUCCAUCUCCUGUGCCUCUUUCAGUCACAAUAAACUACAAAACGCACUAUUGAGAACAUAAUUGGUGAUUUGUUUGUGAAUCACACAAGUUCUGAACUCUUCCCAACGAGUUCAACCGAUUUCAUUAUCACUCCCUGGUAUUUUAUACGUCUGCUCUUCACGCGGCUGCUAUCAGCUGGCUGUUGAACUUAUCAACACGACGCAAAAAAAAAAGCAAAAAGCAAAAACAAGGAAAAAGCAACAACCUCUACAUUUCCUAGCUUCUUUUCAUACCACCACCAUCAUUAUCACCCCGACCAAGCUGACGGAAGGAGUUGAGAUACGAUUGGCUCAGGCUACAUCGGAAAGUCCAGAGUGCAACACGGAGAUAUUUUUCUACCACCAUACCAGCGCAGCUGUGUCAACAAGGCUGUAGGUCUAUACAGCCCUGAUCUCAACUCUCAACAAUUAUUUCUCAUCUGAGUAUCUAGUAGAAAAUUGAAUCAUCGACAUAAAAGAACAUUUUUGAACGCGCAUCCUAACCAAAAA